GAAGCUAGGUUGAUGUUGGUGAUAUUGGUUUUGGUUCUGGUAGUGGUUUUGGUUUUGGUUGUGGUUUUGGUUUUGGUGCGAGGGUUGAUUGCCUUCAAUCGCGAGUACUUGCUAGGUUGGGUGUGGGUGGUGAUGUUGUUGGUGGUUGUAGGGCGAGGUUUGCCAGUUUCUACCCUUCUCAGAAUGCCUUUGGUGGUUUCUUUCUGCCACCCUUCUUCUGUGGUCCUCAUCUAACUUGUCGUAUUUUUCUAGCUCUGCAAACAGGGCUUCCAUCAUUUUUGGCUUUUUUAUUGUUAGCUUCAAGGUUGUUGGACCUAGAUUGAGUCCCAAAAUGCAGGCUGAUAUAGUGACACUAUCGUCCACAUCUGGUGUUUGCGAUCUGAACUGGACAAAUCUCUUUACAUAACUUGCUAGGGGCUCCUUGUCCCUUUGCGCGCAGUUGAAAAAAUCCGCUUCGUCAGACAUGGCUU
rnacentral:lncRNA from 1 species